UUCUGGUCAAGUGCAUUACCAACUUUACCAGUAACUGCACCUCCACGUAAGGAUGCAUCAAAUGCAGAUGAUGCCUCAGAAGGUCGUGCAAGGCAUCAAAGACCAUCAAGAAUGGAUCCAAGAAAAAUCCUUCUUUUUAUAGCUAUCAUGGCUUGCAUGGCAACUAUGGGUAUACUGUAUUACAGAAUCGCACAGCGGGGUUUUGAGGAAGAGCAGCCGGAUGAUGAGCAGCAGUAAUUCUUACUUGAGGUUGUGAUGGAAUUAUAGUGAUCAUUUAUUGUACCUGUAUAUGCCUGCCUGCCUGGUGGUUAAUGGUGAUUUUGCUAUUGCUGCUGCAUUUUGUGUGUGGCUCCUCCCGUGUGUGCAUCAGUACUUGUUUAUGAGUGAAAUGUAGAAGGGGAUAGAAGAGAGUUUUAUUUCUAGUGUCAAUGGCGGUAAAAUGUUGCAUGAUCUACCUUGACAAUGUUCCUCUUAGGCCAUUUUCAUUUUUUGUCUAUUUGAAAUCGAAUCUGAGGAACAUUGUCAAGGUAGAUCAUGCAA
rnacentral:misc_RNA from 1 species